rnacentral:misc_RNA from 1 species
GAAUGACCCAACUAUUGAUGAAAAACUGCCUUAAAGACAAGGUUCACUAAUCUCGAGUUUUAGUCCACUCACGACUGAUUACCUAUCAGCACCAUUUUAAGAGGCCUUAAAGCUUUAUUAAUUGGUGUCUUCGCAUGUUUAAUGAGGAUCUGUUUGUAGUUUCAGUGAAUCUGAACGGAAAGGUAGGGUUAUCAAUUAAGGUAGCUAAAAUUAAAGCGUGUGGAAACAGAUCCGGGAGAUAGAUGCAAGAAGGAGAAUCCUCCGUUCCCUUAACGGGAUAAGGCAACAAGAGGAUCGGUCGCCCCGAGGCUUCCUCAAGUCCCUUGUUGGUGGAUAUACUUUUAAUAUACAGGUUCAUAUGAUUUGUAAAACCCUUUAAACUGGGGAAUCAGAUGGAUUGAAACUAAUUUAGUUUCGUAUAUCGAGUUUAUCUUCUUUCCGGUCUAAUUUGCUCUUGGUUUUACCUUAGUCCCGUAUGGAAUCCUCUCCUUUACAUUGACAGUCGAGCUAUGUCGAGAAUCUAUACCGGGAAUUUCUACUACUUAUGUGAGUGACUACGCCUAUACAGUGGCCUAUCGGGGAGGAACCAGCUCUUAUAGACGAUAUUAGGAAAGAGAGAGGGGGUUGU